GGACUACUGGGGUAUCUAAUCCUGUUUGCUCCCCUAGCUUUCGUGCCUCAGUGUCAGGUGUUGUCCAGGGACUCGCCUUCGCCACUGGUGUUCCUCUUGAUAUCUACGCAUUUCACUGCUACACCAAGAAUUCCAGUCCCCCCUCCAAACCUCCAGCCCAACAGUAUUCAAUGCCAUUUCAGGGUUAAGCCCUGAGCUUUCACAUCAAACUUUUUAGGCCACCUACGCACCCUUUACGCCCAGUGAAUCCGAACAACGCUCGGGACCUCUGUAUUACCGCGGCUGCUGGCAC
rnacentral:rRNA from 1 species